GACGUAGGGGGCGAGCGUUGUCCGGAUUUAUUGGGUUAAAGGGUGCGUAGGCGGCUAAUUAAGUCAGGGGUGAAAUUUUCCGGCUCAACCGGAAGCUUGCCUUUGAUACUGAUAAGCUUGAAUCCACUAGAAGUAGGCGGAAUGAGACAAGUAGCGGUGAAAUGCAUACGAUAAUGAUCUCAGAACCCCAAUUGCGAAGGCAGCUACUAUGGUGUCAUUGACGCUGGAGGCACGAAAGCGUGGGGAUCAAACAGG
rnacentral:rRNA from 1 species